UAAAGAGGUCCCAAGCGUUGUUCGGAUUCACUGGGCGUAAAGGGUGCGUAGGUGGCCAGGUAAGUUCGGUGUGAAAGCUCGGAGCUCAACUCCGAAAUGUCAUUGAAUACUAUCUGGCUUUAUUGAGGGUCGGAGGGGAGACUGGAAUUCUCGGUGUAGCAGUGAAAUGCGUAGAUAUCGAGAGGAACACCAGUGGCGAAGGCGAGUCUCUGGACGACACCCGACACUGAGGCACGAAAGCUAGGGGAGCAAACAGG
rnacentral:rRNA from 1 species